UUGUGAUUUUAAAAUUCAAUCUAACAAUCUGUAGAGCAUCAUUACUCAUUGGUUUUCUAUAAAUGGGUUUUUAACCCUUAUAUAUUAGCAUUUUAAAGUAGUUUAAUUAUUAAAUAAUAGAAUUUUAAGCUUACAAAAUAACUUUACCACUUAAAAAUAAACAUGUGGCACACUAACCUAUUAAUAGAUUUUGGAAACUCUCUCAUAUAAGAAUACUAGUGGUAUUCCGGCGCUACGCGCCGGGUUUGUAUGUUUUAUUUUUACAUGAAUUUACAACUGACUAUGAUGUCAUUUGUACUUUGUUGUAUAAGUAGAAUGGUUUUGCUUGCCAAGCAAGUGGUGUUUUUAAAAUUUAUGUUGAAUUAUGGCCCCCCAAAUUUAGGUAGCUGGGCGUCGUAUAUCGUUGAGGUUUUGACGUUAGUUUGUGGACUUCUGGUUGAGUUGAGUUGUUGCUUUUGUUAAUAAGAAUGAAAACAAUUGAGUUAGGACAUUAUGUUUAUGGAGUUUAUUUAAUUUUUAUGGGCCGUACCAUAAAGAGUGUGUAUCGACUCAUAUUUCUGAAAAAUGCUGGACCUUUGAGUAUUAUAUGUCAUAUUGAAGAAAUUGUUAUAUAAGAAUUUAAAAAAAAAAUAAAAUAAAUUAAGUCGGUUGUUCAAAGAAGAUGAAAUAACGUUUUUUUUUUAAAUUGAUUUAUUAUGAUAUUACAAUUAAGAUAAAAUAAAGUCUAUGCAUUCAAAUAGUUUUGCUUCUGAAAUUAAAGUUCUCUUUUUUAAAAAAAUUUAAAAUUUUGCAGCUUUUCAUCUAAGUCUCAGUUUCCUUCUAUACUUAACCAUGUGUACAAAAAGUGAAAUCGAAGCUAACUCAAAGUACCAUUCUCAUAUUUCAAUCAAAUGUCAGCUUCUUUGGCUGCGGCAGCAGUAUCAGCAACAACACAGCUAUAAAGUGCGUCACUGUUUGCGAUGGAGUUGUGGGCUAAACUUGUCUUCUUAUCUCCUACUCAAGACUAUAUAUGUUCCAGCAGUGUUCGACAAUAUCUAUGCAAAUGAUGUAGUCAAUGGCAAAACUGUCAAAUAUUGGUCUUUGGGAUACUGCUCGUAAAAAAAAUUCGUCACUUCAGUCUUGUUCUUCUAUCAGGUUUGUAUUCUCAGCAUUGUGUCAAAUUCUAAUCUUUUGAUCCUUUAGGAGAAAUGAUGACUUUGUUUCUCAACAAUCUAGAAGUUUCUAGGUAUUUUAAAAAGAAUGGAUCUUUA